rnacentral:rRNA from 1 species
CCUACGGGAGGCAGCAGUAGGGAAUAUUGCUCAAUGGGGGAAACCCUGAAGCAGCAACGCCGCGUGGAGGAUGAAGGUUUUCGGAUUGUAAACUCCUUUUGUUAGAGAAGAUAAUGACGGUAUCUAACGAAUAAGCACCGGCUAACUCCGUGCCAGCAGCCGCGGUAAUACGGAGGGUGCAAGCGUUACUCGGACUCACUGGGCGUAAAGAGCGCGUAGGCGGGAUAGCAAGUCAGAUGUGAAAUCCUAGGGCUUAACCAUAGAACUGCAUUUGAAACUGGUAUUCUAGAGUAUGGGAGAGGUAGGUGGAAUUCUUGGUGUAGGGGUAAAAUCCGUAGAGAUAAAGAGGAAUACUCAUUGCGAAGGCGACCUGCUAGAACAUAACUGACGCUGAUGCGCGAAAGCGUGGGGAGCAAACAGGAUUAGAUACCCGAGUAGUC